rnacentral:rRNA from 1 species
GACGAACGCUGGCGGCGUGCUUAACACAUGCAAGUCGAACGAUGAACCCGGAGCUUGCUCCGGUGGAUUAGUGGCGAACGGGUGAGUAACACGUGAGUAACCUGCCCUUGACUCUGGGAUAACUGCGGGAAACUGUAGCUAAUACCGGAUACGACCCUCGGCGGCAUCGCCAGGGGGUGGAAAGAAUUUCGGUCAAGGAUGGACUCGCGGCCUAUCAGCUAGUUGGUGAUGGCCUACCAAGGCGACGACGGGUAGCCGGCCUGAGAGGGUGACCGGCCACACUGGGACUGAGAUACGGCCCAGACUCCUACGGGAGGCAGCAGUGGGGAAUAUUGCACAAUGGGCGCAAGCCUGAUGCAGCGACGCCGCGUGAGGGAUGACGGCCUUCGGGUUGUAAACCUCUUUCAGCACCGACGAAGCGCAAGUGACGGUAGGUGCAGAAGAAGGACCGGCCAACUACGUGCCAGCAGCCGCCGUAA